UGCUUGUCUCAAAGAUUAAGCCAUGCAUGUCUAAGCACAAGCCCUUGAAUGGUAAAGCCGCAAAUGGCUCAUUACAACAGCCAUAGUUUAUUAGAUCUUACUUUCCUACUUGGAUAACUGUGGUAAUUCUAGAGCUAAUACACGCAGCAAAGCUCGAACUCACGAACGAGCGCAUUUAUUAGAGCAAAACCAAUCAGGUUUCGGCCUGUCUUUUGGUGAAUCUGAAUAACUCUGCAGAUCGCACGGUCUCGAACCGGCGACGCAUCUUUCAAAUGUCUGCCUUAUCAACUUUCGAUGGUAGUUUAUACGCCUACCAUGGUUGUAACGGGUAACGGAGAAUAAGGGUUCGACUCCGGAGAGGGAGCCUGAGAAACGGCUACCACAUCCRAGGAAGGCAGCAGGCA
rnacentral:rRNA from 1 species